rnacentral:rRNA from 1 species
GACGAACGCUGGCGGCGUGCUUAACACAUGCAAGUCGAACGAUGAAGCCGGAGCUUGCUCUGGUGAAUUAGUGGCGAACGGGUGAGUAACACGUGAGUAACCUGCCCUUGACUCUGGGAUAACUGCUAGAAAUGGUAGCUAAUACCGGAUACGACCCUCGGAGGCAUCUCCAGGGGGUGGAAAGAAUUUCGGUCAAGGAUGGACUCGCGGCCUAUCAGCUAGUUGAUGAGGUAACGGCUCACCAAGGCGACGACGGGUAGCCGGCCUGAGAGGGUGACCGGCCACACUGGGACUGAGACACGGCCCAGACUCCUACGGGAGGCAGCAGUGGGGAAUAUUGCACAAUGGGCGCAAGCCUGAUGCAGCAACGCCGCGUGAGGGAUGACGGCCUUCGGGUUGUAAACCUCUUUUAGUAGGGAAGAAGCGAAAGUGACGGUACCUGCAGAAAAAGCACCGACUAACUACGUGCCAGCCGCCGCGGUAA